UACCAGCUCUCCGAGUGGUAGGGAUGAUUAUUGGGCUUAAAGCGUCCGUAGCCGGCUUAGCAAGUCUCCUGUUAAAUUCAGCGACCUAAUCGUUGAGCCGCGGGAGAUACUACUAGGCUAGGAGGCGGGAGAGGUCGACGGUACUUCUGGGGUAGGGGUGAAAUCCUAUAAUCCCGGGAGGACCACCAGUGGCGAAGGCUGUCGACUAGAACGCGCUCGACGGUGAGGGACGAAAGCUGGGGGAGCGAACCGGAUUAGAUACCCGGGUAGUCCCAGCUGUAAACGAUGCGGGCUUGGUGUUGGGGUGGCUACGUGCCACUUCAGUGCCGCAGGGAAGCCAUUAAGCCCGCCGCCUGGGGAGUACGGCCGCAAGGCUGAAACUUAAAGGAAUUGGCGGGGAGCACCACAAGGCGUGAAGCUUGCGGUUC
rnacentral:rRNA from 1 species